ensembl:lncRNA
AAAGACAGCUGUAUUAUUGAGCCUUGUAAAACAAAUUCUGGCUCCCAACCUUGCUCUGAGGUACUGUUACUUUUCUAGCUGCUGUUGCCAUUGCUAGCAACUAAUAAUUAAUAAAGAAUAGCAGCAGUGCACUGAUGGCUGCCUUUUGCUGUUUGUACUCCGGCAGCAUCCUGAAUGCAGUGAGGGAGUCAGCUGCAGCUGCUGACCCUCUGUUUCGACGGGCUCAGACUUCAUUAGGAGGCCCCAGGCUGCAAGCAAGAUCUCUGGUUUCAGCUGGCAGUGUUUCAGAAGCCCAGGAAGAGAUACCCGAGCUUCCAGAAUGGCUGAUGAAAGAGCUGCUCAAAGGACAACAGAGAAGCCAUUCCAUUGGAAUGAUGGAGAACAUAUCAGACAGUGAAGCUAUUCAUCAUCGUGUCGACUCCUCCAGAAGUCAGUGGAAAGGCAAGAUUGAGGAGCACGUAACUCUUGAACAGCUUCAAAAAAUACAGACAGCUUUUCAGGAAUUUGAAAAUAGUGUACAGAAAUCUUUGGAUCUGGAAAACUUCAAGCACACGUUAAAGAAAUGUAUGGGAUCACAUAAUACAGUAAGCAAACCAAAAAUUAAAAAUCAUAUAGCAAAUAGUUUAAUGGGGUUUCAAACGAAAGGGAUGGCAUGGGUGGUGUACAGCCUGCUCUUGCUUCCUGCCCUGCAUUUGGCCUCUAGCUCCCAUACCACACUUCCACUGAUGUUGGUUGCUGUAACUAUAUUUUUCCAUUCUUACUCUUGUCUGUGGCUAUUUCUAGGCUCUGGUCCUGAGCAAAUAUGCUCAUGAAAUCAUAACAUUUUGUGUGUGGAAAGUUUAUUAUGCAUGUAUUUUGCCCCUACAGAACGAUGAACAAAUAGAAAAGCUUUUCAUGAAAAUAGACUAUUCUGCAACUGGCAGAAUUCAAUGGGUAAGUGUGCAUUGUAGUACCAUCAGGGAAAAAAAGUACAUAGGAUAAGUCAUUGUCAUCAUUAUCGUUAUCAUUUUUAAAAAUUCUUUCUACCUUAAGCUAGUUGUAGUGUAACUUCCUACAAACAAUGGAGGCUGAGUUGGGUGUCGGGUUAUUUAUUCAUUCAUUCAUUCAUUCAUUCAUUCAUUCAUCCAUUCAUUCAUUCAGUUUGUAUCCCACUCCCAUUGGUGUCACAGCACUUUUCUGAGCAGGUUACAAUUCAUAAAAUAGGAAAGUAAGAUAAAAAUAGAGAUAUUAAAACCAAUAGCAAGAACCCUAAAAAAACAGAUGGCACCAACUAAUCCCAGAGUGAAUGGAUGAAAAGAGGGGAGGGAAGAAGAUGAGGGGAAAGUAAAAGGGGGGAAGGUGGUCAGCUGGUGUCGGUGUGGAAAGCCUCCCUGAAAAUGUCUUUAAUUGCUUCCUAAAAGUCCACAGGGUCUAGGCGGAGCUCCUUCGGAACCUGGUACCAUAAAGUUGGAGCCACCACAAAGAAGGCCAUGCCUCUUGGCCACACGGAGGAGCCUCAACUAGGAUGAGGGGAGGCACUACAACUAUAUACUUUCUACAUUUCCCUGUGCUGUAGCUAGCUUAUUUUGUAGUUUAUACUCUGGAAUCAACUAAACUCCAGAAAAAAACACAACAAUAUAAACCCCGUUCAGACUGAAGGAGCAUGUUAAUCUUGCUUCUCCUCACCUAGUUUUGUUGCUCUCACACCACGUGGACAGUGAUUUUCUGGAAAGUUGAUCCUGUAGAUUCAGAACAUUGAGAAAUUAGUGUCGUGGAUCAUGCAGAAAUUUUUCACAGGUAGAGGAAAUGCUCCUCUUAAGAAAUUGCAAAGAGUUGGCCCUGUUAAUUUGUUGCGGCAAUAGCUACAAAUCACCAUCUGGUACCUCAAAUGCCAACAUUUUGCAACAGAUGGCACCAACUAAUCCCAGAGUGAAUAGAUGAAAAGAGGGGAGGGAAGAAGAUGGGGGGAAGGUGGUCAGCUGGCGUCGGUGUGGAAAGCCUCCCUGAAAAUGUCUUUAAUUGCUUCCUAAAAGUCCACAGGGUCUAGGCGGAGCUCUUUCGGAACCUGGUAUCAUAAUGUUGGUGCCACCACAAAGAAGGCCAUGCCUCUUGGCCACCCGGAGGAGCCUCAACUAGGAUGAGGGGAGGCACUACAACUAUAUACUUUCUACAUUUCCCUGUGCUGUAGCUAGCUUAUUUUGUAGUUUAUACUCUGCUGACAAAGGGAAUCAACCAAACUCCAGAAAAAAACUCAACAAUAUAAACCCCAUUCAGACUGAAGGAGCAAAGAGGUGGCCCUGUUAAUCUGUUGCAGCAAUAGCUACAAAUCAUCAUCUGGUACCUCAAAUGCCAACAUUUUGCAAUAUUUUACUUGACAUAAGCUUUUCUGUGUCUGACCUAUGGCAAAUAAAACAUUGGCGCAAGAAAUGAAAAGGAGCCA